GCAUCCAAAAUCGAAGCCCACCAUCCCAAGGUAACCCAGUCGCACAACCAGCCCGUCCGUCGUUUGGGUUACUCACGUCCCACGUUUCUUCCCCACGAUCCAACCAUCGGAAGCCAACUCAUGCACACCCAUCUCCCCCACCCCCGUACCUCUUCCCAACCGCAGCCGCCGAUCCAGGCAGAAGUCGCCAAUCUCCUCUCCCAUUGGCGGCGGUGCCGCCGCCCUUCUGCUGGUGGCAGCUCAACGAUUGCUUGCUACCGUUGCGGCACUGGCGGUUUAUGAUGCUGCUGGGUCGCCGUUGUGGCGCCGCCGAUGAACUGCGAGCUCGUACACCGGCAUUGUCCCCUCCGCGUGGGCCGACCUGGACGGAAGGCAACGAACAGAUCCAGCGCCUUUCAUCUCCAACGGUGCGGCCUCCUCAACUGAGCGGACUGCUGGACCUCCUCCGACUAGGUGCUUGGUGAGGAGCUCGAUGCGGGAGGGCGACCUGCGGGAGCGUCGGCGGCAGAGACAGACGAGGACCCAGGUAAUCUCCCUUACCCUUGCACCCCAUCUUCUCCCUGUAUCAUGCACUCUCGCACCGGGGCACCCCAUCUUUGUCCUCUCAAAUGGCUCCUCCCCCCUCACUACUACUGCACCGGUGUCAUGCUACCCGAGGUUGCCGCCGGGGCCAACAUAAGGGUAAGAGUUCAUGACACAUACGAGUUCUAAAAUCACUGGUCUCAAUGUUCAGUGCACCUAAAACUGCACAGUAGAAAGAAUGAGAAAUAUAGGUCCUAGCGGAGCAAAGGAAAAGUGUAACAGAAAUUAGAGAGUUGGAGGGUUCUCAGACUAUCACAGAUUGAAAAGCCCCAAGGAUAAGAAGCAUUUGGAGCUGCAAAAAUGUGACAUACAUUUCUUGAAAUAUUCACAUCAUGUAUUGUGACUGAUUUUUCUUUUUGAAGGAAUCAGGGACUAAUUACAAUUGGAUGUAAUCUUGACAUAUAGGUACGCCAACAGAGGUUGUUGCAUGUCAACAUCUAAUCACAACAUCUUUGUAUUUAUUACAAACUCUAUUUUUCACUAGCAUUUUCAUUUAAAGACAAUACAGUAUUUGUUUCCAAUGGUAUCAAUUUGUAUCACUGUCGUUGUAUUCCAUCUUGACUAGAGAUUAUGCUAGAAUGAGUGAACUGCUCGACAAUGUGAAGGUGAGACUUGUUCGUUUGAUUUUUAGGUGUUAUGUAAAAAUUAUCAUGACAUGCAAAAUCUGAAUCUGGACACUCUUUUAUUCGUGCAACUGAAGUAUGUGUGUAUGGUGCCUUUUUGAAUUGCCAUGAAACUUGUACUAAGCGUCUAUGAAAAAAAUGUCUUUUCUGCUGAGUAGUACUGUGUCAACCAAAUCCAAAAAUAGUCAUUGGAAAUUAUAAGUACUUCACGAAGUCUGCAACAAAUUGUAUCAAGUAGGAACUUGAUGCUUGAUUGGCAAAAUUAUGAAGUUUGUGCCAUAAAUGUUGAUUGUACUGAAGGUUUCAUGUUUGUGGCUCAGAUUUUUGAAUUUUUUACAAGUUCAGUAGCAAACAAACAAAAGUGUUUAGAUGGCUAUCUGGAUCAGUGCAUGACCAUGUAGAUGUAUCACUUAGCUUUUUGGUUUUAAAUGCACGCGUAGAAUGAGCUGGUUAGAUAUGAAGACCUAUUUGUAUUAACAUGUUUAUUAAGAAGUUCUCCUAUAGUUUGAGAAAUCUUCAUGAGAAUUGGUCUGACUAUGUAAUUAGAGACGCCAUAAUGAGCCGAUGUUACACACAAGAUAUUGAGGUAGUAGGCAUGGAAAUUUUAUUGUUACCAAGCACUCUUAUGUUAUAGAAUGCUAUGUUCAGCUGUGCUCUGCACCUUGAGGAAGUUUUGCAUGUCCCCAGAUUGUUAUGCAUUAUUUCUCAGUAACUGUACCAAGCAUACUUAGAGGUUAUCUACAUUUUUUUGUGCUUGUGUUUUGGAUUAUCCAAAAAAAAAUUGCUCUGAAAGUGUGGAAAUAUAUUAAUAUUUGAUAAAAAAAAACAGGGCAUAGUUUAAUAGGCUAAACUUAACUUGCUGAUUGCAGUUAUCAAGCAUAUUGUGCAAGAUUUCAAGUACAAACUUGGGCCAUUGGACAUAGGAGGGUUUAAUUCUUAUUGAUUUGAGUUCAAUGUCGUGUGAGCAGAUUUGACUUUGUGAUCACUAUGUCAACUUAUGCCUGCCACAAUUCCUCGUGUUAUUAAUCUAAUCUAUGCCUCUUGAGUAUGCUGGGAUCAGACCUAAAGCGGAUAGCAACUGCUCUAUUAGCUGUCUCUCGCUUCAAUGUUGGUUCCUUUGCUCAGACUACAAUGGCUGGUGUUCUAGCCGUUGAGAUGCACAACGCUCCGUCGCACCUACACAAGUGAUAGCACAUUCUGUUUUCCUUGAUGCUGAUAUAACAAAGGGAAAGGUUGCUAGAAUUAAGGAAGAACAAAACAGACGAACCAUGCUGCCGGUCAGAUUGAGGGAAGGUGUUGCAGGUUUGAAAAUACAUUGUGAAGUGUAGAGGAGAUAAAGAGAAUUAGGCUCAUGGAGAAAGCCGAAGGAAGGGUAGAGUCGAGGGCACAACGGGACUAAUGGGGGAAUGAGUUGGAUGACGAGUACAACAAAGAGGAAUGGAUCUGAAGGUGGCAUGACGGUCAGAUUGCAAAGGAGAGCAAAAUGGUAUUGGUGUUUGCUGAGUCAAUAGCAUGUACAUAACUAUCCCGUAGUAGUACUAUUUUGUUAAAUUUGUAAGUGUAAGACUGAAAAUUCAAUUUGGCCCUCGUGCAGCUAUGCUCUUGCUUCCAAUUUUCAAAAUUCCCAUUUGUAAAAAAAAGGGCACAAAAAUCACUCUGUAGUAAUCUACAUGUUUGUUGA